rnacentral:rRNA from 1 species
GACGAACGCUGGCGGCGUGCUUAACACAUGCAAGUGGAGCGACGAAGCGGACUUCGGUCCGUGGCAGAGCCGCGAACGGGUGAGUAACACGUGGGUAACCUAUCCCGAUGACCGGGACAACUCGAGUAAACUCGAGCUAAUAACGGAUGUUCUGGACUCUCGUAAGGGAGUUCAGCAAAGAUAGCAUCGGCCUUCGCAUCGGGACGGGCCCGCGGCCCAUUAGCUUGUUGGUGAGGUAACGGCUUACCAAGGCUUCGAUGGGUAGCUGGUCUGAGAGGACGAUCAGCCACACUGGGACUGAGACACGGCCCAGACUCCUACGGGAGGCAGCAGUGGGGAAUCUUGCGCAAUGGGCGAAAGCCUGACGCAGCAACGCCGCGUGGGGGAAGAAGGCCUUCGGGUUGUAAACCCCUUUCAGUUGGGACGAAGCUUCCAGGGUUAAUAGCCCUGUGGAGUGACGGUACCUUCAGAAGAAGCCCCGGCUAACUACGUGCCAGCAGCCGCCGUAA